rnacentral:lncRNA from 1 species
AAACAGGACCCUAUCAAUGUGAAAUACGGGACCGAUAUGGUGGCCUCCGCAGUAACCCAGUCAUCCUAAAUGUCCUCUAUGGUCCAGACCUCCCCAGAAUUUACCCUUCAUUCACCUAUUACCGUUCAGGAGAAAACCUCGACUUGUCCUGCUUCACGGAAUCUAACCCACCGGCAGAGUAUUUUUGGACAAUUAAUGGGAAGUUUCAGCAAUCAGGACAAAAGCUCUUUAUCCCCCAAAUUACUAGAAAUCAUAGCGGGCUCUAUGCUUGCUCUGUUCAUAACUCAGCCACUGGCAAGGAAAUCUCCAAAUCCAUGACAGUCAAAGUCUCUGGUAAGUGGAUCCCAGCAUCCUUGGCAGUAGGGUUUUAUGUGGAGUCUAUCUGGCUUUCAGAGAAGAGUCAGGAAAACAUUUUUAUUCCCAGCCUGUGUCCCAUGGGCACAAGCAAAUCCCAAAUUCUCCUCCUGAACCCUCCCAAUUUGUCUCUACAGACUCUCUUCUCCUUGUUUUUCUGUUUUCUUAUGGCUGACCUUGUGUCUGGCCUGAAAAAGGUAGGGAGGGGGCUUUAUCAGCCCUGAGCCCUAUGUGGUAGAAGAGGCUUCAGAGAGGGACAAGAAGGAGAGUCCUCAAGAUCAAGUUGCUUCUCGCUGUCACCGACACAUCCCCUUCUGCCACGUCUUUUUUUUCUUGUACCUAUUCCAUGAGCUACAAGGGACAGCUGAGGCUUUGAAACAAGCUCACACUUUUCCCCCAGAUGAGAGGAGGAAGCCCCUUGGGUGAGGGAGGAGCAGCUCAGACUCUGCUUCCUGCUCUGCUCCGGGCUCCUCUGGUGACUGGCCCUGCCUCACUCAACCUGGGGUGGGACUAGCGUGUGUGUAGAAAGGGCCCUGGUGGCCUGUCCUGAAUUUGGCUAAAUUGAGCUGCCAGUUGAAGCCAAGCCUCCCCCGGGCCAGGCUGCAGGGAAAUAAGAAGAGAGGGAGCCUCAGGGCAGACUCCUGAGCUGCGUCCUGGCUCUGAAGUCACCAGCUGUAUGAGGCUUUGGGCACAGCACGUGGGACACAGCACGGAGGACAGUGACUGAUGCAGAGCUGGAGGAAUAGGGAGAUUCACCGUUGGGGUUAUUCAUGGCAGGAAAGGGGCAGUGCCAAAAAGUGUGUAAUUAUAGAGAGGGUAAGACUACCAGACACUUUAUAUAUAUCUAAUAUAAGACUUACCAUUAACUAUUUCUAUGUGUGCAAUUUAGUGUUGUGUAACCAUCACACUAUCCAUUUCCAGAACUUUUUCCUCUUACCAUAUUAAACCUCUGUACCCAAUAAACAGUAACUCUCACUCCUUCUUCCCCUAACCCUUAGCACCCAUCAUUCUACUUUGUCUCUAUGUAACUGGCUAUUCUAACUAUCUUUUAUAAAUGGAAUUACAUAAU